UGGGGAAUAUUGGACAAUGGGCGCAAGCCUGAUCCAGCCAUGCCGCGUGGGUGAAGAAGGCCUUCGGGUUGUAAAGCCCUUUUGUUGGGAAAGAAAAGCAGUCGGUUAAUACCCGAUUGUUCUGACGGUACCCAAAGAAUAAGCACCGGCUAACUUCGUGCCAGCAGCCGCGGUAAUACGAAGGGUGCAAGCGUUACUCGGAAUUACUGGGCGUAAAGCGUGCGUAGGUGGUUUGUUAAGUCUGAUGUGAAAGCCCUGGGCUCAACCUGGGAAUUGCAUUGGAUACUGGCAGGCUGGAGUGCGGUAGAGGGUAGUGGAAUUCCCGGUGUAGCAGUGAAAUGCGUAGAGAUCGGGAGGAACAUCCGUGGCGAAGGCGACUACCUGGACCAGCACUGACACUGAGGCACGAAAGCGUGGGGAGCAAACAGGAUUAGAUACCCUGGUAGUCCACGCCCUAAACGAUGCGAACUGGAUGUUGGGUUCAAUUAGGAACUCAGUAUCGAAGCUAACGCGUUAAGUUCGCCGCCUGGGGAGUACGGUCGCAAGACUGAAACUCAAAUGAAUUGACGGGGUCAUAGCUG
rnacentral:rRNA from 1 species